GCACAAGCAGCGGAGCGUGUGGUUUAAUUCGAUGUUACACGAAGAACCUUACCAGGGUUUGACAUGCAAGUAUCGGCAGGCGCGAAAGCGUCGGCCACCCUCGGGAGGCUUGCACAGGUGCUGCAUGGCUGUCGUCAGCUCGUGCCGUGAGGUGUUGGGUUAAGUCCCGCAACGAGCGCAACCCUUGCCAUCAGUUGCUACGAAAGGGCACUCUGAUGGGACUGCCGGUGACAAACCGGAGGAAGGUGGGGAUGACGUCAAGUCCUCAUGGCCCUUAUAGGUGGGGCUACACACGUCAUACAAUGGCCGGUACAAAGGGCAGCCAACCCGCGAGGGGGAGCCAAUCCCAUAAAGCCGGUCGUAGUCCGGAUCGCAGUCUGCAACUCGACUGCGUGAAGUCGGAAUCGCUAGUAAUCGUGGGUCAGCAUGUCACGGUGAAUACGUUCCCGGGUCUU
rnacentral:rRNA from 1 species